CGUCAGGCUCUAUGCUCUUCACACAGGCAUAGAGGGGGGUGAACUCUAAAAUGUGACGAGCUGCAAGCCUCCAAAAAAUAAAGCACCCUUUGGGGGACGAAACCAUGGUGAAGUUCAACUCCUGAGCAUACUGCCUCACCCGUGGCGCCGUCUCCCACAGGGGAGCUGUGAUCCCGGUGCCCCAGCAGAGUGUAAUUGCAGACAGCUCAGCAGUAGCUCAGCCUGAAGACUUCUCUCGUUACAUAAGGGCUCAAGCUCAUGGGCGGAUGUCAGAAAAGACCCAGUUUGUUUGUCCCUGACAUUCGGCGUGCAGGCAACCAUCCUAAAUGAGCACAGGUCAAUGAACUGAGUGUGUACUAACUUCAGAACGUCGUAAAAGGAAAAGGGAGCACAUCUGGCUAAUAGGCAAAGGUUUUCGAUGAUGUUCUUUAUCUGCAAAUUAACUUAAUAAAAUCAUCCCAUCAUUAAAAUUAAGUUAUGUUCAUGUCUGAUUGUUUCUUAAUCAGCACUUCAAGAAUUCAGCAUCUGGCCUCAUUAUUGCGCGUGACUCUGGUGCACAGAUGCGUUCUGAAGCUGAGGGAGCUUGUGAUGAUAAUUAUUGGAGUUUUAUUAUUUCCUGUAAUAGCUUCAAAUGAGGUUUACUGCAUGAACAUAUUCCGUUCAUGAAGGCCACACAUCUGUAUGAAUUUCCCAGGGUCUUUAACAUUGUUACAAUAAUGCAUUUCAUUCCGGCAAUUAAGUGGAGUGACAUAGUACUAAUAGUAAGCACAUAUUUACCAUGUGUGAGGCACUUUGCUCGACUUGAUCCUCAUGACAAAUCUUUGAAGUUAGAAAAUUAUCCUAGUUUCACAUAAGGACACUGGGGCACAGAGGAGCUAAUUAAUGCCUCAGUUAACCUGUAUGUGUCGGAGCUGGGCUUCGAACCCAUGAGGACGGACUCCAGAAUCUACGUUCUUAAUCACAGCACUACGCCAGCUCCAAAAUCUUAGUAAGAGCCUGUUUGGUGUAGAUCUCUGUACGCUAACAGCAAUUAGUGUUGAAUCAGCUUGGCCGCCGAUAAUGUUAACACGUGUCUUUGAAUUCGUAUCUCAUUCUCUACCUUUCCUCUGAGAGCUUAUGAACGUUCUGCGAUGCAAGCAAGAAAACAAAAACCAGAAAGUUAGUAGCAAAACAGGACUCGGAAACCGUUCUGGUUCAUCAGAAUGUCUCCAUUAUUCCCGGUAUCUGAACCACAGGACCUUCAGGUUAAUCAAUAAUAUCAAACAUGCAGUAUGGAACCUUAGGUCAUUAAAUCACAAGGCCUUUAUCAACAAUUUGCUUCAGUAGCUAUAAUUUAUAGAAUGCUUAAUGUGUGCAUUAACCAUUCUAGUGUCUCCAAGUUCUGUAUCAGAAAGCAUUUAAAUUAUGUUAUCUCAUCUACCUGGAUACAUGCCAUCCCUGAAGUAUACUUUGAUAAUAAACCUGCAACCAUUAUGCAAGGAUCA